GGAAUUGUUCGCAAUGGGCGCAAGCCUGACGACGCACCGCCGCGUGGAGGAUGAAGAUCUUCGGGUCGUAAACUCCUUUCGAUUGGGAAGAAUGGCUUCCGGGUGCACAAUCCGUAGGCGCGACGGUACCGAGAGAAGAAGCCCAGGCUAACUCCGUGCCAGCAGCCGCGGUAAUACGGGGGGGGCAAGCGUUGUUCGGAAUUACUGGGCGUAAAGGGCUCGUAGGCGGCCAACUAAGUCAGACGUGAAAUCCCCCGGCUCAACCGGGGAACUGCGUCUGAUACUGGAUGGCUUGAGUCCGGGAGAGGGAUGCGGAAUUCCAGGUGUAGCGGUGAAAUGCGUAGAUAUCUGGAGGAACACCGGUGGCGAAGGCGGCAUCCUGGACCGGCACUGACGCUGAGGAGCGAAAGCCAGGGGAGCAAAC
rnacentral:rRNA from 1 species